GACGAACGCUGGCGGCGUGCUUAACACAUGCAAGUCGAACGGUAAGGCCCUUCGGGGUACACGAGUGGCGAACGGGUGAGUAACACGUGGGUGAUCUGCCCUGCACUUCGGGAUAAGCCUGGGAAACUGGGUCUAAUACCGGAUAGGACCACUGCCUGCAUGGGUGGUGGUGGAAAGCUUUUGCGGUGUGGGAUGGGCCCGCGGCCUAUCAGCCUGGUGGUGGGGUGAUGGCCUACCAAGGCGACGACGGGUAGCCGGCCUGAGAGGGUGUCCGGCCACACUGGGACUGAGAUACGGCCCAGACUCCUACGGGAGGCAGCAGUGGGGAAUAUUGCACAAUGGGCGCAAGCCUGAUGCAGCGACGCCGCGUGAGGGAUGACGGCCUUCGGGUUGUAAACCUCUUUCAGCACCGACGAAGCGCAAGUGACGGUAGGUGCAGAAGAAGGACCGGCCAACUACGUGCCAGCAGCCGCGGUAA
rnacentral:rRNA from 1 species